rnacentral:lncRNA from 10 species
CAGCUACUUGGGAGGCUAAACUGGGAGGAUCCCUUGAGUCUGGGAAGUUGAAGCUGCAGUGAGCUACGAUUAUGUCACUGUACUCCAGCUUGGGUGAUAGACUGAGACCCCGUCUCAAAACCAAAAACAAAAAACAACUGAAAUCUUGUUAUCAGUUUCAUUUAGUCUCGCAUAAUUAAUUUUUAUCCCUUCAGAACCAAAGGCAUCAAUAAGCAUGCAGGAAGCCAUCCACUCCUGGACCAUGGUGUUUUGGAAAUUCUGAUUUAGUCCUCUGGCAUAGUCUGGCAGGUGGUAAUGGCAGCUUACACCGGGACUCUUCUCCAUUCGUCAGAAGGUGGAAACCUUUUCACUGUUUCUUGAAUCUGGGCUUGGCCAUGUGACUUGCUUUGGGCAAAGGGACAUAUCAAAAGUGACAUAAGCAGUGGCUAAAAACCAAAAUGAGACUUCUCUCUCUGAUCUUGAGAACGUUGUAAUCACUGAAUGAGUCCAAAUAAACCUGCUGGAUGAAGAAACAGUUGGCAAAGUCAUUGCCACUAUCCAACUUACAGCAAGCCUACUGCCCGAUACAUGAAUGAGGCUAUCUGAAAACCCAGCACCAAUGAAUCUGGCUCAGAGAAGAACCAAGAACCAGCCAGGUGAACCGCUGAAGCAUAAAAAUAAAUAUUUACUGUCUAAAGCAAAUUGUUGUUUAACACAACAGAAGUUAACUGAUAUAAAAACUAGUACCCGGUGUGGGGUGUUGCUAUAACAAAACCUAAAACAUCUAAUAAAAUACUAAAAUACAUAGUAUUGGCUUUGGAUGGAGGCUGAAAAAACAGUGAAGAAACUGUUAGUGAAGGUUGAGACAGUGGCAGACAAAGUUGUGCUAUAGUGGAAUAUUUGGCAAAGCUUUCAUCUGCAGAAACUUGGAAGAUAGAAAAUGUACCUAAUGAACUUGUGCCUCUAAAAAGAUUUGAUGAUAGAUGCUGAGUGUGUCAACUGGCCCCUGUUAGCUGCAUAUAAUAAUAUGGAAACAGACAGAAUAAGUUUAAAAAUGAACAGUUUUGUUUACAAGCAGAUUUUAGAAGAAAUAAAAAGAAGCCAGGAAUUGCUGGGUCAAAAAAUAAAUUGUCUCCCACGUUGGUUAAAAUUCACAAAGUAGGAAAUGGCCUAGUAUAAAGACAGACAAAGAUGUGGCUGGUUAUAAGAUUCAUUUUUAAAAAACCUCUAAAAGUUCUAAGGUGGACAGAAGAGUCCUCAGCAAGAUAAAUUGUCUCCUAAUAAUUCUAAGGGCAUUUUUUUUUUCAUAGCAGCCUACCACAUCUAAAGUGGAGGAAGGCCUGUUUUGAAAUGAUUUAGAUGUGAAUUUUGGAAGUGGAGAAUUUUAGAAAUUACAUACAAUAGAUGUAAAUCAGAUCCAUAGGCAAUCCAUGAGUUUUUAAAGACCAUUAUACUAACAAAUCACUGCCAGCUUGGACUAAAAUCAAUUACAAAAAGAAAGUUUUCUAGGCUUCCAACAUUUUGGGGGCAGAAAUCAGACUGAGAAUCAUGGCCGUUUCUAGUUCGAAGGAUGAAAAUCCUAGAGGUGGAGGCAAGAGAUCCAGAGAAAAACAGACAGACAAAUCACUCUCAAGGAGCCGAAAUAGAACUCAAUCAAGGAGCUUACACAGACUUAGAGCAGGGGAUCCUUUUAACAUGUACCUGGAUGGAUUUCAGAAUUUGUUAGACCAAUGGCUGCUCUAUGCCUCCCAUUCCUCAUUUUUCUGAUCAGAAGUAUCUAUUACAAUUACUCUGCUCCCAUCUCACCCUUGUAUAUUAGGUUGGUUGACCACUGGUAACUUACAUUUUUAGUUUAUAAGUCUCUGGAUGAAGAGCAGCUGCAUCCAAUGGGUCAUAUUUAUACCUAUAUUAGAAACAAAUUAUAAGAACCUGGACUUUGAACCAGAUGACAUAAUUGAAUGAGACUACUGAAAUUCUGGAAGUAAGCAUAUUUUUCAUUUAGGAGAAUAUAAUUUGUGGCUGAAAACAGUCUGCAGUAGAUUUUAAAAAUUGCUACAAAUGUUCCAUCUCUUUAUACAUAUCAUUUUACAACCUGAUUUUGUAGUUCCUUCCAUCAACGGUUGGUCUAUUUCGUGAAUCUACCUGUUCUUUCUAGGCUUGGUCAUGUGAAUUACUUUGGUCAAUGAGACAUGAACAAAUAUGAUACAAGCAGAGGCUUUAAAAGACUUGCAUAUUGGAGCUUGCCCUCAUUUUCUGCACUUGGAAUUCUGCAAUUGCCAUCAUGUGAACAAGCCCUGGCUAGCCUCCUGGAUGAUUAUAGCCAAAUCACCUCCAUCACUCAAGGUGACACUGAGUCAACUGCCUGAAGCCAUCCUAGACCAUCCAGCUUCAGCUGAAACAGCCCAGAAGAAGAAUCAUAUGAAAUAAUAAAUUAUUGUUGUUUGAAAACUACUAACCGUUAGAGUGGUUUCUGACUCAUCAGAAACUAACAUAUAUUAUGUUCUUCAUGGCAAUAAGGUGAAAGAAAAGAUGCAUAAUUUCUUUAAGCCAAAAUUCGAAAGCAACUUAAUUCAUUGAAAGAUUUACUUUGUUCCCCUUCCUGUGUCCAUGUGUUCUCAUUGUUCAAUUCCC